rnacentral:rRNA from 1 species
GACGAACGCUGGCGGCGUGCCUAAUACAUGCAAGUAGAACGCUGAAGAGAGGAGCUUGCUCUUCUUGGAUGAGUUGCGAACGGGUGAGUAACGCGUAGGUAACCUGCCUUGUAGCGGGGGAUAACUAUUGGAAACGAUAGCUAAUACCGCAUAACAAUGGAUGACACAUGUCAUUUAUUUGAAAGGGGCAAUUGCUCCACUACAAGAUGGACCUGCGUUGUAUUAGCUAGUAGGUGAGGUAAUGGCUCACCUAGGCGACGAUACAUAGCCGACCUGAGAGGGUGGUCGGCCACACUGGGACUGAGACACGGCCCAGACUCCUACGGGAGGCAGCAGUAGGGAAUCUUUGGCAAUGGGGGCAAACCUGACCGAGCAACGCCGCGUGAGUGAAGAAGGUGUUCGGAUCGUAAAGCUCUGUUGUAAGUCAAGAACGGGUGUGAGAGUGGAAAGUUCACACUGUGACGGUAGCUAAACAGAAAGGGACGGCUAACUACGUG